AGUGAACGCUGGCGGUAGGCCUAACACAUGCAAGUCGAACGGCAGCACAGUAAGAGUUUGCUCUUACGGGUGGCGAGUGGCGGACGGGUGAGGAAUACAUCGGAACCUACUUUUUCGUGGGGGCUAACGUAGGGAAACUUACGCUAAUACCGCAUACCACCUACGGGUGAAAGCAGGGGAUCUUCGGACCUUGCGCGAUUGAAUGAGCCGAUGUCGGAUUAGCUAGUUGGCGGGGUAAAGGCCCACCAAGGCGACGAUCCGUAGCUGGUCUGAGAGGAUGAUCAGCCACACUGGAACUGAGACACGGUCCAGACUCCGACGGGAGGCAGCAGUGGGGAAUAUUGGGCAAUGGGCGCAAGACUGAUCCAGCCAUACCGCGUGGGUGAAGAAGGCCUUCGGGUUGUAAAGCCCUUUUGUUGGGAAAGAAAAGCAGCAGGUUAAUACCCCGCUGUUCUGACGGUACCCAAAGAAUAAGCACCGGCUAACUUCGUG
rnacentral:rRNA from 1 species